UUAAUAUUCAAAUCUAUUUAUUUCAACCAAGAUAAUACAUAUACUUAAAAAAAUAGGGGUUAAUUGAAUACACACAAGUAUUCGAAUACUAAAUACAUUUCGGGUAUUUAAAUAUUUGACCAUCUGUGCCAAUAGUUAGCAGUGAUAUCAUUUUUCAAAAUGUACCUUAAUAGGGCUUGAUUACAAACACAAUAUUAACCUUAUAUUGCUGGAUUAAUUCUGUAGUCAAAUGUCUUACUACCCCUGAUCAGAAAGAGCUUAAUUCUUGGGAACCCAGAAUGGUUGGCUUCAGUAACCAUAGAGGUUCAUGAUUCCAGAAUGUGAAGGUUUACUACUGAUAUCCACAUUACAUCAUGAUGAAAACUAGUCCACCAAGCAGGAUCGGCAACAGGGUGCGCUGUAGACCAAAAGCGUUUGGUGAGGCUGAUGUGAGUCUGUUGGUCGCAGUGGCGUUGGGGUUGGACAGGUCCACAGCUGCAGUGCUUAUAAAGACAGCCUUAGGACUAUCUGGG
ensembl:lncRNA